UUCUGAAUUCAAUAAUAAAUUUUCCUUGUUUACUGGGAUUAUCCCGUAUUAUUCAUAGUAGUGAAAUUACUGUGUUUAAUAAUUUAUGUAUUAAACGUCACUGAUAACAAUUAUAUUUAUCUCAAUGAAUAUAAAAUAUGAUAUUUGAUUGUUUAAGAAAAAAUUAUCCUUUUGUAAUUUUUAUUUGACUAUUUCAUUUAAUUUUUUUAUAAAUUACAAUUAAACAAAAUAAUUAAUUUAUUAUAUAAUAAGUCCGUGUUGUGUAAUUAUACAUACAUUAUAUAAUUCUUAUGCUGUUAAGAAUUGACUAUCUGAUAUCUAGUAUAAAGAAGAAAACAUUUGCUUGAUAUUCUAAGUUAAAUAUUUGGAUCGAACUGUCCUCAAUAUAGAAUGCAAUUGAGCACUAUAAAUAAGUUAUUUUGAUGAUAUAAAUACAAAUUUAUAAAAAAAUCGAAGUCACAAAGAUUUUAAAAAUUAUUUGCCUAUAAAUGAUAAUGAAAAAUAUUCUGCAAAAGUUACAUGCAGUUAUUUUAAUGCUGUGGGGAAUCCCACACUUAUAUGCGCGGUUAUAAAUUCUAUGCAUGAAUAUUUAGUCACUGUUUGUCACUGAUGAGUUUGGAUAUCCCCGCCAAGAUCACAUUUGGUAAUAUUUCGGACAGAGAAGGGGAAUAUUGAAGAAAAAUGCUUGUGGU